rnacentral:miRNA from 1 species
AAAGUAAAUGUAGGUAUGUGUGUUUGUGUAUAUAUGUAUAUACAUGUAUAUAUACACACACACACACACACACACCAAUCUUACCC